AGAUUGAACGCUGGCGGCAUGCCUAACACAUGCAAGUCGAACGGCAGCACGGGGGCAACCCUGGUGGCGAGUGGCGGACGGGUGAGGAAUGCAUCGGAAUCUGCCUGGUUGUGGGGGAUAACGUAGGGAAACUUACGCUAAUACCGCAUACGACCUACGGGUGAAAGUGGGGGACCGCAAGGCCUCACGCGAUCAGAGGAGCCGAUGUCGGAUUAGCUAGGUUGGACGGGGUAAACGCCCACGAAGGCGACGAUCCGUAGCUGGUCUGAGAGGAUGAUCAGCCACACUGGAACUGAACGACCGACGGUCCA
rnacentral:rRNA from 1 species